rnacentral:rRNA from 1 species
UUGAAAGGGAAACGAUUGAAGUCAGUCGUACCUGCGGGUAAUCAGCCUUUUGGGCAUGAUUCUGUGGAGCGUGAGGAGUUAAACGCCUUCAUGCCUGCAUAUUCGUGUACUUUGGGUGUACUUGCCUGUGUGGUUAGUUAACAUCAAUUUUGGUUAUCAUAAAAUGGUUGGAGGAAUGUAGCUUCGAUUUCGAUUGAAGUGUUAUAGUCUUCGGCAGAUGUGAUGAUCGGGAUUGAGGAUUGCAUCGGAUACCCUUCGGGGCUACCUGUCUGGUCUCUGAUCGUUGCUCUGGUGCCGAAAGCGUGCUUACGGUUAUCAAAGUCGAUGGUCAAUAGGUUAGAACGGGUUAAAUUCGUUAAGGAUGUUGACGUA